AUACGUAGGUGGCGAGCGUUGUCCGGAUUUACUGGGGUGUAAAGGGCGUGUAGGCGGGAGAUCAAGUCAGAUGUGAAAUACCGCAGCUUAACUGCGGGGCUGCAUUUGAAACUGAACUUCUUGAGUGAUGGAGAGGCAAGCGGAAUUCCUAGUGUAGCGGUGAAAUGCGUAGAUAUUAGGAGGAACACCAGUGGCGAAGGCGGCUUGCUGGACAUUGACUGACGCUGAGGCGCGAAAGCGUGGGGAGC
rnacentral:rRNA from 1 species